UUAGGAAUAUUCGUCAAUGGGGGAAACCCUGAACGAGCGAUGCCGCGUGAGUGAUGACAGCCCUCUGGGUUGUAAAACUCUGUUGUUUGGGAAGAACAGAGAGAAUAGGAAAUGAUUCUCUUUUGACGGUACCAUUCAAGAAAGCUCCGGCUAACUACGUGCCAGCAGCCGCGGUGAUACGUAGGGAGCGAGCGUUAUCCGGAUUUAUUGGGCGUAAAGCGUGCGCAGCUGGCUUAUUAAGUAUGAAAUUAAAGCCCGGAGCUUAACUCCGGUUCGUUUCAUAAACUGGUAGGCUUGAGUGUGGUAGAGGUAAGUGGAAUUUCUAGUGUAGCGGUAAAAUGCGUAGAUAUUAGAAGGAACAUCAGUGGCGAAGGCGACUUACUGGGCCAUUACUGACAGU
rnacentral:rRNA from 1 species